UGUGAAACUGAACAGCGGCCGAAUCAGACAGCGGAUCAAUGUGAAGACGUCGGACUCUGGCGGAUUCUCUUCAUCGUACUCGGAACAAUAAACUGUCUCGUCAUUGCUGUAGUCGCAGUCUCGAUCGUUACCUGCUGUGGAAAAACCAAAUCUCCAAACUGUGAUGUGAAGCUUCAAGAAGUCAGUGGAUCACAGAGUUGGUUGGCAAAAGCGCAUAAUGAAAGCAGCUACACUGUGGUGGAGUUUAUUCCAUUUCACCCUGUGGUGUAACACACACACACACACACACACACACACACACACACACACACACACACA
ensembl:lncRNA